AGCAGUCGCCACGGUAUACGUAGGUGGCAAGCGUUGUCCGGAAUUAUUGGGCGUAAAGGGCUCGCAGGCGGUUUCUUAAGUCUGACGUGAAAGCCCCCGGCUCAACCGGGGAGGGUCAUUGGAAACUGGGAAACUUGAGUGCAGAAGAGGAGAGUGGAAUUCCACGUGUAGCGGUGAAAUGCGUAGAGAUGUGGAGGAACACCAGUGGCGAAGGCGACUCUCUGGUCUGUAACUGACGCUGAGGAGCGAAAGCGUGGGGAGCGAACAGGAUUAGAUACCCGUGUAGUCCCUGUCUCUUAUACA
rnacentral:rRNA from 1 species